rnacentral:tRNA from 2 species
GCUCUGAUAGCUCAGUGGUAGAGCGCGUCCUUGGUAAGGACGAGGUCGCGGGUUCAAACCCCGCUCAGAGCU